rnacentral:tRNA from 1 species
UGGGAGGUCGUCUAACGGCAGGACAGGGGCCUUUGGAGCCCCCGAUGAAGGUUCGACCCCUUCCCUCCCAG